rnacentral:rRNA from 1 species
GGACGAACGCUGGCGGCGUGCCUAAUACAUGCAAGUCGAGCGGACCGACGGGAGCUUGCUCCCUUAGGUCAGCGGCGGACGGGUGAGUAACACGUGGGUAACCUGCCUGUAAGACUGGGAUAACUCCGGGAAACCGGGGCUAAUACCGGAUGCUUGAUUGAACCGCAUGGUUCCAAUCAUAAAAGGUGGCUUUUAGCUACCACUUACAGAUGGACCCGCGGCGCAUUAGCUAGUUGGUGAGGUAACGGCUCACCAAGGCGACGAUGCGUAGCCGACCUGAGAGGGUGAUCGGCCACACUGGGACUGAGACACGGCCCAGACUCCUACGGGAGGCAGCAGUAGGGAAUCUUCCGCAAUGGACGAAAGUCUGACGGAGCAACGCCGCGUGAGUGAUGAAGGUUUUCGGAUCGUAAAACUCUGUUGUUAGGGAAGAACAAGUACCGUUCGAAUAGGGCGGUACCUUGACGGUACCUAACCAGAAAGCCACGGCUAACUACGUGCCAGCAGCCGCGGUAAUACGUAGGUGGCAAGCGUUGUCCGGAAUUAUUGGGCGUAAAGCGCGCGCAGGCGGUUUCUUAAGUCUGAUGUGAAAGCCCCCGGCUCAACCGGGGAGGGUCAUUGGAAACUGGGGAACUUGAGUGCAGAAGAGGAGAGUGGAAUUCCACGUGUAGCGGUGAAAUGCGUAGAGAUGUGGAGGAACACCAGUGGCGAAGGCGACUCUCUGGUCUGUAACUGACGCUGAGGCGCGAAAGCGUGGGGAGCGAACAGGAUUAGAUACCCUGGUAGUCCACGCCGUAAACGAUGAGUGCUAAGUGUUAGAGGAUUUCCGCCCUUUAGUGCUGCAGCAAACGCAUUAAGCACUCCGCCUGGGGAGUACGGUCGCAAGACUGAAACUCAAAGGAAUUGACGGGGGCCCGCACAAGCGGUGGAGCAUGUGGUUUAAUUCGAAGCAACGCGAAGAACCUUACCAGGUCUUGACAUCCUCUGACAACCCUAGAGAUAGGGCUUCCCCUUCGGGGGCAGAGUGACAGGUGGUGCAUGGUUGUCGUCAGCUCGUGUCGUGAGAUGUUGGGUUAAGUCCCGCAACGAGCGCAACCCUUGAUCUUAGUUGCCAGCAUUCAGUUGGGCACUCUAAGGUGACUGCCGGUGACAAACCGGAGGAAGGUGGGGAUGACGUCAAAUCAUCAUGCCCCUUAUGACCUGGGCUACACACGUGCUACAAUGGGCAGAACAAAGGGCAGCGAUGCCGCGAGGCUAAGCCAAUCCCACAAAUCUGUUCUCAGUUCGGAUCGCAGUCUGCAACUCGACUGCGUGAAGCUGGAAUCGCUAGUAAUCGCGGAUCAGCAUGCCGCGGUGGAUACGUUCCCGGGCCUUG